UACGUAGGGUGCGAGCGUUAAUCGGAAUUACUGGGCGUAAAGCGUGCGCAGGCGGUUCGUGAUGUCUGAUGUGAAAGCCCCGGGCUCAACCUGGGAACUGCAUUGGAAACUAGCGGGCUGGAGUGUGGCAGAGGGGGGGUGGAAUUCCACGUGUAGCAGUGAAAUGCGUAGAGAUGUGGAGGAACACCGAUGGCGAAGGCAGCCCCCCUGGGCUAACACUGACGCUCAUGCACGAAAGCGUGGGGAGCAAACAGG
rnacentral:rRNA from 1 species